rnacentral:rRNA from 1 species
CAUGGUUGUCGUCAGCUCGUGCCGUGAGGUGUCGGGUUAAGUCCCAGUUAACGACGCGCAACCCCUAUCACUUAGUUUGCCAUCAGGUCAAGCUGGGGACUCUAAAGGAACUGCCUACGCAAGUAGUGAGGAAGGCGGGGAUGACGUCAAAUCAGCACGGCCCUUACGUCCAGGGCUACACACGUGCUACAAUGGCCGAUACAGAGGGCAGCUACCUGGUGACAGGAUGCAAAUCUCCAAAGUCGGUCUCAGUUCGGAUCGGAGUCUGCAACCCGACUCCGUGAAGUUGGAUUCGCUAGUAAUCGCGCAUCAGCCAUGGCGCGGUGAAUACGUUCCCGGGCCUU